rnacentral:rRNA from 1 species
UUAUCGUUUAUUUGAUAGUACCUUACUACUUGGAUACCUGUGGUAAUUCUAGAGCUAAUACAUGCGCAAAAGCCCGACUCACGAAGGGCUGUAUUUAUUAGAUAAAAAACCAAUGCCCUUUUGGGCUCUCUGGUGAUUCAUGAUAACUUAACGGAUCGCAUGGCCUUGAGCCGGCGAUGGUUCAUUCAAAUUUCUGCCCUAUCAACUUUCGAUUGGUGAGUAGUGUUCACCAAUGGUGUCGACGGGUAACGAAGAAUUAGGGUUCGAUCUCGGAGAGGACGCCUGAGAAACGGCGUACACAUCCAAGGAAGGCAGCAGGCGCGCAAAUUACCCAAUCCCGAUACGGGGAGGUAGUGACAAUAAAUACUGAUGCAGGGCUCUUUUGGGUCUUGCAAUUGGAAUGAGUACAAUUUAAACCCCUUAACGAGGAACAAUUGGAGGGCAAGUCUGGUGCCAGCAGCCGCGGUAAUUCCAGCUCCAAUAGCGUAUAUUAAAUUUGUUGCAGUUAAAAAGCUCGUAGUUGAAAUUUGGGCCUGGCUGGCUGGUCCGCCUCACCGCGUGUACUGGUCCGGCCGGGCCUUUCCUUCUGGGGAAGCCCAUGGCCUUCAUUGGCUGUGUGGGGAAACCAGGACUUUUACUUUGAAAAAAUUAGAGUGUUCAAAGCAGGCCUUUGCUCGAAUACAUUAGCAUGGAAUAAUGGAAUAGGACGGCUUUCCUAUUUUGUUGGUUUCUAGGAGAGCCGUAAUGAUUAAUAGGGAUAGUCGGGGGCAUCAGUAUUCAAUUGUCAGAGGUGAAAUUCUUGGAUUUAUUGAAGACUAACUACUGCGAAAGCAUUUGCCAAGGAUGUUUUCAUUAAUCAGUGAACGAAAGUUAGGGGAUCGAAGACGAUCAGAUACCGUCGUAGUCUUAACCAUAAACUAUGCCGACUAGGAAUCGGUGGAUGUUAUUAUUUUGACUCCAUCGGCG